rnacentral:misc_RNA from 1 species
UGGUUCUCGCAUCGAUGAAGAACGCAGCGAAAUGCGAUAAGUAAUGUGAAUUGCAGAAUUCAGUGAAUCAUCGAAUCUUUGAACGCACCUUGCGCCCCUUGGUAUUCCGAGGGGCAUGCCUGUUUGAGUGUCAUGUUAAUCUCAAACCCCCCCCCUUGUCUUUUUGUCGAGACUAAGGUCGGUUUGGACUUGGAGGUUGCUGCUGGCUCUUAUAUUGUAGUCGGCUCCUCUGAAAUGCAUUAGCCGGACUUUGGUUCGCAUUUACACGGUGUAAUAGUCAACAUAUUGUUCGCCGGGGUGCUUGCCUAAAGAGUCUGCUUGCUUCUAAUCGCCCCAGGGCAAGGUCUCUUUUGACUUUCUUGAACACUUUGACCUCAAAUCAGGUAGGAUUACCCGCUGA